GAGGNGCGCCUACCAUGCAGUCGAACGAAGAUANCNAUACUUACUUGGCUCUACUGGCUGACUAACAGUGCUAGGGUAUCUGCCCUUUGGCCUGGAAUAACACGAGGAAACUUGUGCUAAUACCGGAUAAGUCUUUACGGACAAAGCUUUAUGCACCAUUGGAUGAGCCUGCACUUGAUUAGUUUGUUGGUGGGGUAAUGGCCUACCAAGACUGUGAUCAAUAGCUGAUUUGAUAGGAUGAUCAGCCACAUUGGGACUGAUACACGGCCCAAACUCCUACGGGAGGCAUCAGUGGGGAAUCUUGCACAAUGGAGGAAACUCUGAUGCAACGAUGCCGCGUGAGUGAAGAAGGCCUUUGGGUUGUAAAGCUCUUUCGUCGGGGAAGAAAAUGACUGUACCCGAAUAAGAAGGUCCGGCUAACUUCGUGCCAGCAGCCGCGGUAAUACGAAGGGACCUAGCGUAAUUCGGAAUUACUGGGCUUAAAGAGUUCCUAGGUGGUUGAAAAAGUUGGUGGUGAAAUCCCAAAGCUUAACUCUGGAACUGCCAUCAAAACUUUUCAUCUAGAGUAUGAUAGAGGAAAGCACAAUUUCUAGUGUAUAGGUGAAAUUCUUAGAUAUUAGAAAGAAUACCAAUUGCGAAGGCAGCUUUCUGGAUCAUUACUGACACUGAGGAACGAAAGCAUGGCUAGCGAAGAGGAUUACAUACCCUCGUAUUCCAUGCCGUAAACGAUGUGUGUUAGACGUUGGAAAUUUAUUUUCAGUGUCGCAGCGAAAGCGAUAAACACACCGCCUGGGGAGUACGACCGCAAGGUUAAAACUCAAAUGAAUUGACGGGGACCCGCACAACUACUGGAGCAUGUGGCUUAAUUCGAAGAUACGCGCAGAACCUUACCAACACUUGACAUGUUCGUCACG
rnacentral:rRNA from 1 species